CCCUUAGAUGUCCGGGGCCGCACGCGCGCUACACUGAAGGAAUCAGCGUGGCUUUCUCCCUGACCCGAAAGGGUUGGGAAACCCGUUGAAUCUCCUUCGUGAUAGGGAUUGGGGCUUGACAUUGUUCCCCAUGAACGAGGAAUUCCCAGUAAGCGCGAGUCAUAAGCUCGCGUUGAUUACGUCCCUGCCCUUUGUACACACCGCCCGUCGCUACUACCGAUUGAACGGUUUAGUGAGGGCCUCGGAUUGGUCUCGGCCCGCUCUUUACCGGGCGGCGCCGUUGGUCGAGAAGACGCUCGAACUUGAUCGUUUAGAGGAAGUAAAAGUCGUAACA
rnacentral:rRNA from 1 species